AUGGCCAUAUCACAUUGAAACACCAGUUCUUGUAUGAUCACUGAAGUUAAACAAAAUCAACUCUGCUCAGCACCUAGAUGGGUGACCACUUGGGAAUACCAGGUGCUGUAA